rnacentral:lncRNA from 1 species
AAACCACUUAAACUUUAAGAGAUAAUUGGGAACUAUGAUGAGGGUGAUAAUAAAAGGAGAAAUCUUACAAAAAUUAACCUGGAUGUUAUGCUUGCUCUAAGACUAAGUCACUAGGGAAACAGAUUCAGUAUUAUCCAAUGGCUUAACCUUCCUUCCUUCCUUUUGUUCCCUUUUUGGUGGUGGCUGGGUUACAAAGAGUAGUGUCUUCUGCCCUGAAGGUAGCAGUAGUAUGGUGGGUGCCUAGAGGUCAAUUAUUGGUUUAGAAGAGAUUCAGGCUCUUAACUUCUACAUGUGCUUCCCAGGAGGGGGAACACUUUCUUUCUCAGCCCUGUGUGAGGACCUUGUUAGCCCAGAAAGUGUUCUCAGACCACUGGGUGCCCAUUCUCAGUGUUAGAAACAGGAAGACCCUGGUUUCCUGGCAGAAAUGGAUCCUACAGUUUUCUCUCCAUCAAACUUUAAGUCACAGUAAGACAGGACUCUGGAGUCACAGGCACAGCCAGGAGAGGUCAGCAUCCUUAUGCUGACUCCUGUUCCUGGACAUGGGUCUUAAGAUCCAAUAAACUAGACUUUCAUAUAAAAUCAUAAAAAUCACAGGCACAGUUCUUUUAAUUCACAUAGAUGCUUAGCAAAUGUUCUUGAUGGAUUAAAUGCAGUGGCCAGCAAUUUCAGGGGCACUUUUUGUAGCACUUCACAUGUUCCUACAAUGACAGCCUUUGGCUAUGUCAGAAACACCACAGCUAGAAAGUGUCUGACUGCAUACUUGGUCUAUUGUCUUUCUUUAAGGCAAAACUGACAGAGAUGUGUUGUGGGUCCAGUUCACUGUGCCUGGAAAUGAAGUGGUUUUGCUCCCCAUUCCUUUACUCACUCUAUACACAGGAAAUGAAAAUUACCCAUAACUUAGGGCAACUGCACUGGAGGCAUGACUAAUAAGUAAAUAUGGCCAAGACUGUAAGGGAAUGAGAAUAAGUUAUAAAUAAUAGAUCAGAAUUUGCACAUCCAAAUGAAUACCAUCUGAAUUGUCUUACCCCAUGGCUAUAUGCUUAUCCUAAUGUAGCAGAUAAUUUUGCUAAAAUAUUCAUCAGAAUGUCCUUUUGGAUACUGUUUUUCGAGCCAGUUUUACAAACCACUGAAGAAAACCAGUCUCAUUGCCUUUUAAUCAGUCCUUUAAUGCCAAAAGGGAAAAGGUAAACUUGUAAUUAAAUUUUGAAACCAUUAUACUGAUUCUAAGUGUGCACAAUGAUUUUACAUUGUCCUAGAUCAUAAAACCAGCACCUUGAAAAAAAUACUGAUUUCCUUUAUCAAAGUGGUUUGUAACUAUACUUUGAGACCUGGAAAUUUACUAUGUAAAAUGGGACCUGAAAUCUGUGCUAUUGGACUAAGCACUGUGCUGUCCAAUAUGGUAGCCAGUAACCACAUGUAGCUAUUGAGCAGUUGAUACGUGGCUCGUCUGAAUUGAGAUGUGCUGUAAACGUAAAUUACACACUGGAUUCAAAAGCUUCAUUGAUGAAAGAAUUACCUAAUAUCUUAAAAAGAUAUUAAAAGAUGAUCUGUUAUAGCACUUCUGGUAACUAAGCUCCUUAAGAUAUGAGUCCAAACCAAUCCCAGUUAAACAGAUUUCCAUGACAGAUUCAGUCAAAUUAAAGGGUGGAGUUGAGGAAGAGGUUCCAACUGACUUUUCUGAUGUGCUACAUUGUCUAUAUUGUAUAAUAACAAGUAAGCCAAGAAAAGAAAAUUAAAGAGGUGUAGUCACUUCAGGUAGGAAAAGAGAAAGAGCAAGUCAGUUGCUAACUGCUAGGAAACAAUUGCUCUUAUAACAGAAGAAAAAAAGACUUUCUUCUAUGCAGGACACUUUAAUAAAGAAAUAGUGUCGGGUAACUAAAGGUGGAUCUCACAAAAAGUGUCUCUUACAGCCAAGUUUGAGAAUUCAUACAAAGAUAAGCCUCUUCUAUUUCUCCUCUCUACUCUCAAACUUGCUUUUCUGAGUCUGGGUACUUAGGAUCUAAGUAACCACUGGCUAGCUACCUGAUAUCUAUCAGAAACCCAGGACUUGAGAAGACUGGGCUCAGGAGAGUUACCUUCUGAUAGGGUCUGGAAAGAUCCUGGGAAUAUACUCAGUAUGGGAAAAUGAAUGAGGCCAGGUGCAUGCUAAUUUGUAGGAUUCAUUUCUUUAAACCAUAGAGCAGAGUACAUACCAUUGUUUCCUAGCUACACUUUAUGUAUAUGUAUUAUUAAAAUCAUAUCAAAAUUAUUUCCUUUUCAGUUAUUUUUGAGGAUCCUCAGGAACACAUGAAGAAUUUCUACUAUGACACAAUAUCAAAGUAACCAUUAUCAUGUCAAGCAGCUUUUAUAAAGGACAGAGGAAGACAGAUACCAUUUAUCAAUGACUCAAUGUAUGUGUGUGAGAGAUACACACAUUUACACACAUACACAAAUAGACCUUUUUUCCCCCCCAAAUCUGAGGCAUGUAUGGGAGUUAAAUCAUUUUCAAACAAGAUUGAAAUGACCUUAUCAGAAAUUUCUAAAAACAGUUUGAGAAAGGGGGAACUAGAUAGAAAAGAAUCAGAAAUACAUGAGAGAAUGAACAGACCAUAAAAUGAUUAUUUUUAUUCAAAAUUUUCUCCUUUACUACUUUCCCUUGACCUACAAAUCUGCUCAUAUUUUCCCUAUCUAAAAAAAAAAACACUCUCAAAACCUAGUUUCACUCUUAAGCGACUUUCCUGUCUCAUCUCUCUUUUAACCACAAAAUUUCCUGAAAGAAUAAUCAAUACCAGGGGAAAAGGGCCCAUAAAUAUUUAUGAUAGUAAAUAUUUUAGGCUCUCUAGGCUAUAUAGUCUCUGUUGCAACUAUUCAACUCUGCCCUGUAGUGCAAAAGCAGCCAUAGUCAAUAUACAGAAACAUGGGUGUGGCUGUGUUCCAAAACCUUUAUUUAUGGGCAUUGACAUUUAAAAUUAGUAUAAUUUUCACAUAUCAUGAAAUAUUCUUCUCUUUGAGUUUUUUCAACCAUUAAAUAUGUAAAAACCAUUCUUAAUGCUUGCAGGCUGUACAAAAUCAGAUAGGGGAAUGGAGGUCGAUUUUGUUUUGGAUAUUAAUUUGCUAAACCCUGAUCUAUACCACUGCCUCUAUUCUUGUCUCCUUGAAAAUUAGCUUUUGUUUCCACCAUGCUGCUAAGAUUUGCUUUCUCAAAGAUCAUUAAUAUCCCACCAGUUGUGAGAUCUACUGUUUUUUUCUUGUACCCAAAUUCUUUGACCUCUCUGCUAUAUUUUACUACCUCUUGACAACCUCUUUUGUUUUAAUAUUCUUCUUUCUUUCACUACAUAAACGUAGAAUACCCCCAAGUUUCUAUCCUCAGCUCAGUCAAUUUCUUGUUUCUUUUUAUGCUAUCUUUUUUAUUAUCUCAUUUCCUGACAUAACUUUUACUGAUGCAUUUACAUAGAUGACUUCCAAAGCUGGACCUUCCACAUAUAUUUUUCUAAGAGUGCAAAUCUUAAAUUUAUUGCUAAACCUCUGCUGGAUGGCUUAUAACACCUAAAAUUUCAAAUAUUUAUUCUCAAUUUAUUAUUAAAUUUCUCUUUAUUGGCUUUUUCAAAUCCUUCUGACUUUCCUAUAUGCUAAUAACAUAACCGUUAUCUAAGUUCAAAAAAAUUUUUAACCUUUAAACUCUCUUCUAACCUCGAGAUUUAACAACUUCCAUUACUGUUCAUAACCAAUCAGCUUUGCAUUCAAUAAGUUUCCCUUACACCUGUUUCCUCGUUGCCUUCAAUACAGACACCACUUCAGUUCAAAAGCCUAUCUCAACUUCUCCCUCCCUGUGUAUGUCCUAACACAUGGCUAGAGAAGGUUAAUUACCUGCUUAAAACCCCAUUUCCUAUUAAUUGAUAAAUGUCAAACUCAGCCUGACAUUCAAGGUCGUCAACAAUUUGCUUCAAACUACCUCUCCAUGUUACUGUCCUCCCAACAACUCUUCAUUUAUAAUACAUGUUCAACUAUGCUGUGACUUUGAACUCUGGGAACUUAGUUUGUGGCUAGAAAAUUCAAUCCCAUAUUUCCUCUGUUGGAAUUUAUAUUUUCUUUUUGUUAUAAUGUCUGUGUAUCUAUCUUAUCUCCCAAGUUAGACAGUGAGUUUCUUAAGGGUUAGGACCAUGUUCUACUAAUUUUUAUAUCCUUCACAGGCCUAGCACAGUGCUCAUCUCAAUGAUUUUUGGAAAUAAGUGAGAUAUUAAAAAAAUGACAGUGACUUCUAUAUAGUAUACGUUUAUGAGCUAUUUGCUGAAUUCAUAAAAUCAUUAGGUAAUUAUUUUUGUGUCUCGUAAAUUUUAUUUCAUUUCACUAACAGUAGAAUGAAAUCUCUUGACCAAUAUUUUAUUUUAAAAGUAUCUGAUAACUUUUAAUUAUCAGACUGGCCUCACUUUUCCUAGACUUGCAACCUCAGGCAAACUGUGUAACUUUAUUAACACAUGUAAAAUGGAGGAUGCAAAUAAUAGUUUAUUUUCCUAUGUCCUAGAGAAGUUCUAAGGAUCAAAUGAAACUCUGUAUGUAAAUUUCUUGGGUGAAGUAUCAAACACAGGAAAAGUAAAAGUUAACUUCUUUUCUAUUUAGCUUAUUCAUCUUUUAUUUCCAGUGCUUAGUGUAGCAUCUGGGAGAUAUGCUCAAUAAAUAUUUGUUGAAUGAUUGAAAAAUCAUUCUUUUCUUAGAUUCCUUCAAAACAAUUAAAAAUAUAUUUCACUCACAAUGCCAAGCAUUUUUAGCAGAAAAGAAAAACCAAAACAAAACACAAAACCCCCAAACUCUCAUCAAAUCGUUGAACAAUAAAACAUCCAGAAACAUAAUGAAACAAUAAUCUCAGUUUGCUUCUUGAUAACAUCUGCACAUAACACAUAUAUUUUUUAGGAUUGUACCUUGCUGGUAUUGUUGUGAUUACCAGAUAAUUUAUAAGAAGGCAAGUACCUCAUUAUCAUGAUAUGUCCGUUAGCACAAAAGCAUGCCAAGCAGGCACUGCUACACAUGACCACCACAUUUGCUUGCAGUAUAAAAGAUGUCUCCGUGAUGUUAUGAACAUAAAGGCAAGUCUGAGAAGGCAGUGAGAAGACUUUGGCUUGUUUUUCUGAGCAGAUUAUUGUAUACUGAUGAUCUCCUAUUUCUUGGGAUGCAGAAGAUGAGUUCAUUACCACUUUCCUUCUCCAAGAUUUUUCAUUUUCAUCUAUGUUGUUUGGAUCCCUCCAAACUUCAUAUGGCGGUUGCAUUAAUCCACCCAUUCGGUCCAUACAGGAGAAUGUUAGCACAGCUCCUUUCAAUGAGAGGAAUGUACCUAUAAAAACAAUUGGACAUCACUGACAUGUCAAAUUCAUUCUAAAGCAUCUAUAGGGAAUUAAAGUUUUACAUUGUGAUAAUUUAUACCUAUAGAGUCAUAAUAUUGCCCUAAUGUAUAUGAAUUUGUAGAUUUGUGAGCUCAUCUGUUAUAAUAAGUUGGAAUCAUAGAAUGUUAGGUCUAAAAGGAACUUAAGACGUCAACUGGUCAAACCCUCUCAUUAUAUUAAAAAAGAAGAAAAAACAGACCCAGAAAGAUUAUGAAAGUUGGGCCAGGUCACACAGCAAGUUAGGUCACAGCCUAGAUUAGAACUCAGAUUUUUCUGAUUCCUACCCCACGAUUCUUUCAUUAUACUAUAUAGUCCCCCUUAAAGUCCUUUUAUAAAAAAGAAAAUUUUAAAAAUGUACAUAUUUUAUUUAUUGAAAUAACUUCAACUGAAAAAUAAUCACACAAUCUUAUUUGAUUUUCUUAUUUCAUAGACUAAUUUGCUAGAAAAUGCUUGAUUUUUCUUCAAAAUCAAACAAGAAGAAAUUUCAAUAUCUGGAAUUCACGGUGGCAAUUUUAAUUGUAUGAAAAAGACAAAACAAUUACCUUCAGCUCUUAGGUAGGCUUUUGCAUCUUUACACAGAAAGGGGUUUUACUCACCUGGAUUCUCCAAGGUUGACAAUGUAUGCCAGAUUAUUGCCUAUAGGUGAUUUUCACCAGUCUUGGAGGACAAUAUACUAUAAAGCUUAGGAGGUAGUUUGGGCUCUAUUGAUCUUUGGAUAUUUCCAGAAUCUUCCCUAAGCAGUACCCUAUUAGCCCUUUCUUUCCUUUGUCCUUUUACAUCAUGCAGAGAAAGUAUGUUAGCUUAGACUGAUAAUGUCUCAAGGGUGUACAUGUGACAGAGACUUGAAAAGGGAAGGGUGACAGAUAAAAGUAUAUUCAUUUAGAAAGUACUUACAAAGUCCUUAAAAUUUAUCAAAUUGAAAAGAGUAUAUUGGGAUGAUCUAAUAUCUUAGUUGUGUUUUUAAAUCCACUUCAAAACUAAGAAAUCUAUAAAUGUAUAUAAGGGUAACGGCAGAGGCUAGGGGAGUAGAGGUUUAGGUGCUGCAGUUUAAGGGUUAAGGGAUAAAAGAACAUCUCUCCCAAUCUCCCAUGAAGGAAAAAUGCCAACAGCUCUGAAGAAUGAUUUAAUUAAAAUUAACCUAGGAUUGAUCCUGCUGUUCAGUAAAACCACAUUUUCCUAACUACCUGCCAUAGAAAGACUUUUCUAAGUAUAUCUUUUCAUCCUUGAUUUAGAGAUGGCUGACAGUAGGUUAAAAAGACAAGAAAUCCACAUUUUGAAAGCCAUUUUACUUAUACUCAUUGCAUACAAUCUUCAGCAUCAAAAUGAAUUUCUCAAUAAGCUGCCCUUGCCAAAACAGCUGCUUUGUUUCUUAAUUUUUAGUCAUAAAUGCUUUGAUUAUAUUCUGUUCAUUAGGUUUAUACAGGGUUUAAGUUUUCCAAACAAUGUAUUAUUAAUCGUUUAGAAUUCUUUCUUUAAUCUUUUCCAACUGGAAAAAACUCAAGUAAAUCUAAAUCAUAAGCAGCUACUACUUCAGAAAUACACUUACAAAGUAUGCUUAAACUUAUGGGCUUCAAUAAUAAGAUCUUAAUUAAUUAGGACUUUCCUCUUAAAGAAGAACUCACUGGCUAGGAGUGUACUUUACUCCAGCUUUCCCAAAUCACCAGCCUUGCCGACUACAACCUUCAUUCAAUCAAUACAUACAGUAUCAAGUACAUUCUAUGUGCUCUAGGCUCUAUUUUAGUCAUAGUCAAUAUAGUGGUGAAUAAAACAGACAAAAGUCCCUGCCUUCAUAAAACUUACUUUCUAGGGUAGAGAUAGAUAAUAUGUCUGAUAAAUAAGUAAUCAUAUGGGAUAUUAGAUAGUAAUGAGUACUAAGGAAAAAAAGCAGAAAAGAAGAUAGGAAUUCUUGAAAAAAGGUAGAUAAAUUUUAAAUAGUGUUAUAGACUGAAUGUUUGCAUCCCCUGCCAACCUCUUGUAAAAAAAAUCAUAUGUUAAAGCCCCAACCCCCACUAUGGAUCUAUUUGAAGAGGGAGCCUUUAAGGAAAUAAUUAAGAUUAAAUGAGAUCAUAAGGGUAUGGCUCUAAUCUGAUAGAAUUAGUGUCCUUUUAAAAAGAGAUACCAGAGUACAUGCUCUCUCUCUCUCUCCCCCUCCCUAUGUGUACACAAAGGAAAGGCCAUGUGAGCACACAGCAAGAAGGCAGCCAUCUGCAACCCAAAGGAAGAGACCUCACUAGACAUCUGCCCUGCUGGCACCUUGAACUUAGAGUUUCAGUCUCCAGAACUGUGAGAAAAUAAAUUUCUGCUGUUUAAGCCACUGAGUCUGUGGUAUUUCAUUAUGGCAGCCUGAGCAAACUAAUAAAGAAGGGAAGGCUUCUUUUCAUCAUCCUGUGGGAAUUAGGGUUCAGGAAACCAGCACAAAAUACUGAUAUUCUAUGACUGUUGUGAAUAAUAAAUUAUCCUUUGUCCCUGAGCCAGGAGUUUCAUGUCUUCUAUCAGCAUCGAAACUGGCAACCUAACUUUAUUAGCUUACAAGUAGAAUAAAAUCUCAGAUUCUUUAUAGGUCUUGACUUUCUAGAAUGCCAAGAAGAUUCAUAGGAGGUAAGAUCAGAGAGAUAAAGUAGAGCCACAUCAUGUUGGUUCUUUCAGGACAUGGUAAAGACCUAGACUUUUACUUGGCGUGAGAUGGAAGGAUUUUGAGAAUGGAAGUGAUGUAAUCUAACUUUCAUGUAACAGAAUCACCCUACCUCCUGGGUGUAUCCUAAAGGGAACCAAGGCUGGAAGCAGGGAGAGCAGUGAAGAGGUUAGUGUAUUAGUGUGCGUGAAAAAUGGAUAGAGGCUUGGUUGAACUGUGUGGUAAUAGUACAGAUGGUGAGCAAUGUCAGAAUCUGAGUGUAUUGUAAAGGUUGUGCCAGCAGGAUUUGUUAACAAAUUGGAUUUAGGGUAUGAAAGAAAUAUGGGGGUCAAGGGUGAUUCCAGUGUUUUUGACCUGAGAAACUGGAAGAAUGGAAUUGUCAUUAAUAGAUGUAGAAAAGUGUGAGAGGAAUGAGAGGAAUACCAGGAGCUCAGGUUUGAACAUGUUAAGUUUGGGAUACUUACUAAACAUCCAAAUGGAUAUCAAAUAGCUGGAUAUAUGUUAGGAAUUUGUGGAGAGGUCCAGACUAUAAAUAUAAAUGUAUGAUCCAUCAGACAUUUAAAGGCAUGAA